rnacentral:rRNA from 1 species
GGAAUAUUGGGCAAUGGACGCACGUCUGACCCAGCCAUGCCGCGUGGAGGAUGAAGGUCCUCUGGAUUGUAAACUUCUUUUAUCUGGGAAGAAACCCAUCUUUUCUUGGGUGGUUGACGGUACCACAUGAAUAAGCACCCGCUAUCUCCGUGCCAGCAGCCGCGGUAAUACGGAGGGUGCGAGCGUUAUCCGGAUUCACUGGGUUUAAAGGGUGGGUAGGCGGGUUGCCAAGUCCGUGGUGAAAUCUCUGGGCUUAACCCAGAAACUGCCGUGGAUACUGGUAGCCUUGAAUACCGUGGAGGUAAGCGGAAUAUGUCAUGUAGCGGUGAAAUGCAUAGAUAUGACAUAGAACACCUAUAGCGAAGGCAGCUUACUACACAGUCAUUGACGCUGAGGCACGAAAGCGUGGGGAGCAAAC